UGGAAUGUUUUCGUCCCACCCAAGUUC
rnacentral:ncRNA from 2 species